GUCUUUAGCCAUAUCAUCCUACAGCCCAAGACUGGUCAGUCACAAGCUAAGCAGGGCUGAGUCUGGUUAGUACCUGGAUGGGGGGCCGCAUAGGAAAACUUGGUUGCUUUUGGAA
ensembl:rRNA 5S_rRNA 5S ribosomal RNA